rnacentral:misc_RNA from 1 species
AACUGAUACUACCUGCGGGAACCUGCGGAGGGAUCAUUAUUGAAUUCCAAGCGCAGUUGUUGCUGGCUCUCCGGAGCAUGUGCACGCUGCGCAUAUAUUCAACCACCUGUGAACCUAUUGUAGACCUGGGAUGAAAUCUCAAGGCAACUUGGACGUGGGGCUUGCUGGCUUCUUCACUGAGAUCAGCUUUCCCUUGCUCGUCCUGGGUCUAUGCUUUACAAACCCUUAUGUAUGUUAAAG